CCAUGGCAGAAAGCAAAUGUGCCUUUCCAAGAGAAAGACUGUGCAACAUUUCCCUCCAAUUUGAGCUUCUGUAGGUGUAUUCUAUGAGGAUAUAGUUAGAGAAAAGAAAUUAAAUUCUUCCUUAAACCAUGGGCUGGCAGAGUUUGCCCAGUACUUGGACCAUGAAAAUAGCCUUUGUUCUCCCAACUAUGCUGUUGGGUUUAAAAAAUUAAAAUAGGACUCAGACGGAUGUCAGUGAUUGGAAGAGCA